rnacentral:rRNA from 1 species
AACGUAGGAGACAAACGUUAUCCGGAGUUACUGGGCGUAAAGGGCGUGUAGGUGGUUUUGUAAGUCUGGCGUGAAAUUUUUCGGCUUAACCGGGAAAGGUCGUCGGAUACUGCAAGGCUAGAGGACGGUAGAGGCGUGUGGAAUUCCGGGUGUAGUGGUGAAAUGCGCAGAUAUCGGGAGGAACACCAAUUGCGAAGGCAGCUCGCUGGGACGUUACUGACGCUGAGACGCGAAAGCGUGGGGAGAAACAGG